rnacentral:rRNA from 1 species
UACGUAGGGUGCAAGCGUUGUCCGGAAUUAUUGGGCGUAAAGAGCUCGUAGGCGGUCUGUCACGUCGGCUGUGAAAUCCCGAGGCUCAACCUCGGGUCUGCAGUCGAUACGGGCAAACUAGAGUAUUGCAGGGGAGACUGGAAUUCCUGGUGUAGCGGUGAAAUGCGCAGAUAUCAGGAGGAACACCGGUGGCGAAGGCGGGUCUCUGGGCAGUAACUGACGCUGAGGCGCGAAAGCGUGGGGAGCGAACCGG